rfam:Gossypium raimondii chromosome 9, whole genome shotgun sequence.
AUCUCGUGGUGAGGGCAGUUCCUCAGUAGUUUUUUAAAUUUCUCCCACGUCUCAUAUAGAGAUUCAUCAUCCAUCUACAGAAAAGCAGUGAUCUCAUUCAGCAACU